rnacentral:rRNA from 1 species
GCRGGGGGAUUCMUUUCMCGGRAAAAAAAKRGGCCCAGAUCGUUUACCGUGAAAAAAUUAGAGUGUUCAAAGCAGGCAGAUCCAAUUUUCUGCCACCGAAUACAWWAGCAUGGGAUAAUGGAAUAGGMCCCUGUCCUCCUAUUUUCAGUUGGUUUUGGCAGCGCGAGGACUAGGGUAAUGAUUAAUAGGGAUAGUUGGGGGCAUUAAUAUUUAAUUGUCAGAGGUGAAAUUCUUGGAUUUAUGAAAGAUUAACUUCUGCGAAAGCAURUGCCAAGGAUGUUUUCAUUAAUCAAGAACGAAAGUUAGGGGAUCGAAGACGAUCAGAUACCGUCGUAGUCUUAUCUGUAAACGAUGCCGACCAGCGAUUAGGAGACGUUGAMUUCCSUUUUCCACCAUCGGUUGCGGUCGUCCUUGGCGUCUCGGUUUCGGCCG